UGGUUGGAUGCGGGGGUUUCAUCGCCUACCAAAUCCUGUCAAACUCCGAAUGCUAUAACAUGCUUACCGGGAGUGAGGGCAUGGGUGCUAAGGUCCAUGUCCGAGAGGGAAAGAACCCAGACCAUCUGCUAAGGUCCCCAAAUGUAUACUAAGUUGAUCAAACGUGGUCGGACUGCAUUGACAGCUAGGAUGUUGGCUUGGAAGCAGCCAUUCAUUUAAAGAGUGCGUAACAGCUCACUAGUCGAGCGGUCCGGCGUGGAUAAUAAUCGGGCAUUAAGUAUACUACCGAAGCAAUGGAUUGUAUUUAUACAGUGGUAGGGGAGCAUUCCAGCGACGCUGAAGGUGAACUGUGAGGUUUGCUGGAGUUUCUGGAAAAGAAAAUGUAGGAAUGAGUAACGAUAAUGCGGGUGAGAAACCC
rnacentral:rRNA from 10 species